rnacentral:lncRNA from 1 species
UAGUGUCUGGACGGAAGGGGGAAGAAUCUUCAUCCACUUCAUUAUCUGAAUUGUUCACCCGGUAACUUUUGCCAUGACAAUUUUACAAAUUAAGGUUUUCUUUUAAAAUUGAGGAAUAAUUGACAUUUCAUCAAGGGCACAGAUCUUCAGCAUGGAGCAUAGACCCAAGGGACCACCAUAAAGCUCAAGAUGUAGGACAUCUCCAUCAAUUCAGGAGGCUCCCUCCCAGUUACCCCCACUCCAGAGGGUCUCAUUUUGUUGCUGAGGCUGGAGUGCGGUGGCACAAACGUGGCUCGCUGCAGUCUUGACAUUCUGGGCUCAAGUGAUCCUCCCAUCUUGGCCUCCCGAGUAGCUGGGACCACAGGCCAUGAUACUGCUAGUGGUGCAGAACGAAGUUUAGACAAGGAGGUGCAUGGCCGAGAGCAAUCUGGAAACGAUCAGAGAGGCCAGUUGCAUAAUGAUGGAGAAGCCGCUGUUUUGCAGCCACGAAAAUCAUGCCUGGAGAGAGAAUGUUCCGGGAUGUGAAAUUAUUCACAAUCUAUUGUUCAAAGAAGACAGUUGAUUAUGGGACAGAAGGGAUGCUAUGGCCUUCCAGAGCUCCAGAAGAGGGCUGAGCCAGCCCUUGGGAUGACUAUGAGAGGACAGGGGGAGACAGGGAAACACAAGGGGAGUAGAAGGCUUCAGUAGAAGAUUUCAGUAGAGGCUGAAAUCUACUGAUAUGUACACCUCCAAGGACACAUGUGUCACAUCAGAAUAGUUGCUGAAUCCCACUGGGCCUCUAUUUCCUCACGUGUAAAAUGGGAAUAAUAAAACUCCUACUUCACAGGGCUGUGGAUUGGA